rnacentral:rRNA from 1 species
AGCGAACGCUGGCGGCGUGCCUAACACAUGCAAGUCGAACGUGAAAAGGGAAACCUGAGUACAGUGGCGUACGGGUGAGUAACGCGUAGGUAAUCUACCCCAGAAUCUGGAAUAACCUGCCGAAAGGCGGGCUAAUACUGGAUAGAGCGAGGGAACUCGUAAGAGAGUUUUUCGGGAAAGGGAGCCCGCAAGGGCCUUCGUUCUGGGAUGAGCCUGCGUCUCAUCAGCUAGUUGGUAAGGUAACGGCUUACCAAGGCGAUGAUGAGUAGCUGGUCUGAGAGGAUGAUCAGCCACACUGGAACUGAAACACGGUCCAGACUCCUACGGGAGGCAGCAGUGGGGAAUCUUGCGCAAUGGACGAAAGUCUGACGCAGCCACGCCGCGUGAGUGAAGAAGGCCUUCGGGUUGUAAAGCUCUGUCGGAUGGGACGAACAUCUUCAUAGUGAAUAGCUAUGAGGACUGACGGUACCAUCAAAGGAAGCACCGGCUAACUCCGUG